AGGUUCAAUGCCCAGGACCACAAAAAAAGGAAAGAAGGACGGGAAGAGGAAGGAAGGAAGGAAGAAAAAUCUGUUGAACAAGGGUGCCCAUGAAACACAUGUGAGGCUGAAAUGAGGAAUUAGCCAAAGAGACCCCGCCUUACUACGUGCAAGGCGCUCUCCCGUUUUGCCUUGCUAGGCCUCACAUUGGCCAAAGGACCGUUCCCUCCCCGCCUGGCCAAGCCCCUCUGAGAGCGCCCCCUCCUGGCUGGGGCUGUCCUCAGGGAGCGAGGCGAGUAAACUGUGUGUGCUGAGGACAGCGCGGACCCCGAGGGAGGAAGCACCCCAGUCGGAUUCGGCCGCCCUGCGUGACCAAGGGCAGUUACCAGGGGUAAGGGGACCCAAACAAGGGGGGGGCGGUGUCCUCCUGGUAGCUUUCCCGUGCAGCACCCCAGGAAGCACGCAGAAGAGACAGGAAGACCCUCCUGGAAGUUUUGCUCAAUUCUCCAGGAAAGGUUAGAGAGUUGGAAGACCGCGUGUGCACAGGACACGGGUUUGAAGUGCCCAAAGGUCAGACUCAGAUGCCCAGGCCAUCGGAGAUCUGCAAAAAUGGGUGAAACGUGCCCGGAGCGGUCACAAAGACACUGCUACAUGCCGUGCCCGGGCAGAGGCGAAGCAGGAAGGAAGAGUGAACCAGAAGGCAAGGAGGAGGAGGACGAUGAAGGUGAAGGAGCAGCUGUCCAGUAAUGAGCACAGGAGCCGUGUUGGGGUCACCGGUGUCCUGGCCAAGAAGUAGCCGCUGGCCCAAGGGGCAGCAGAGACCAGCGCCUCUGCCCCCGCCCCGCCCACGGCCGGAGGUGGCCAUGUGACCCGUGGCCACCAGGAUGACGCAGAAGGCCCAGGCCGGGGCUCCCCACGAGGCUUUUGUCAAGGACUGGACUCAGCAGACGGAGCUUUUUGUCUGUCCUCCCCCCACUUCCGGUCCGUGGGGAAGGCGGCAGAGAGGAAGGACCACGGCCCCCAGCCCACAGUGCGCGUCUGUUUCUCCCGUGACGCCUGUGAACGCCUCCGUGCUGGGGCUCUGAGGGCAGGUGUCUGGUUAUUUGCGACAGCACUGGGAUUCACCGUGCUCUCCAUUUCCGCCCUAGGACUGGGCAGACUGGGUGUGGAUCUUGGGUGGCGGUGCUGGAACUCGGGGUUUCCCUCACUGUCGCCGAAACUCCAACCACUGCCCCAGCGGCGGGGUCGGCAUGGCUUUGCCGGUGUGGGCGCCUAGCUGGGUGGAAAAGGAUGGCCCAGCACCGGAGGCCCUGGUUCAAGGGUGCUGGCUUAAUUCCCAGGAGGAAAGAAGGAAGGGAGGGAGGGAAAGAGAAAGGGCUGAGAAGAAAGGAGGAAGAAGGGCUGG